AGGCUGGGAAGUCCAAGAUCAAGACACCGACAGAUGCAGUGUCUGGCGAGAUCCUACUUCCUUCCUCCUAGACGACUUUCUUCUUCAUGGGGUGAAGUGGCUUCAAGUUCUGAAUCUUCUCCAUGUCAGAAGCCGUGGUUAACUUAGGAGGAGAGCAAUAUAUUGUGAUUAAGCAAACCUAUUGAGGGCAUCUGAUGAUUUGGUGCAACUCCUGCAGCCCCUUGCUCAUGCCAUUCUCAUCUUGUCCAAAACCUUGGAGUAUAAUGUCACUGGUGAGCCAUUUACCAAUGCAUUUUGUCCCAGGGAUAAAAUUUGGUCUUUAUAGGUGUAUCUAAAAGACCUCUCUUUGCCUAACGUGUAUUUAAUUAAGCCUACAGACAUACCAGGUGGAAGCCCAAGGAACCUCAAGUGAAGACUGAAGAUGAGCUCUUAGAACCACUGGUUCCCUUGUCAAUGCGAGUUUUGUCCAGAGAUCUCUGGGAAUCCUCAGAUUAGCUAAAAUCUGAAUGUUGAUCCUACUGUUGUAUUGGAUCUUGCUCUGCUCUUGCAUCACGUUUCCCUUGAGAAUG